rnacentral:rRNA from 1 species
UACGGGGGGGGCAAGCGUUGUUCGGAAUUACUGGGCGUAAAGGGCUCGUAGGUGGCCAACUAAGUCAGACGUGAAAUCCCCCGGCUUAACCGGGGAACUGCGUCUGAUACUGGAUGGCUAGAGUGUGGGAGAGGGAUGCGGAAUUCCAGGUGUAGCGGUGAAAUGCGUAGAUAUCUGGAGGAACACCGGUGGCGAAGGCGGCAUCCUGGACCAUGACUGACACUGAAAAGCGAAAGCCAGGGGAGCAAACGGG